rnacentral:rRNA from 1 species
UACGGAGGGUGCAAGCGGUAAUCGGAAUUACUGGGCGUAAAGCGCACGCAGGCGGUCUGUCAAGUCGGAUGUGAAAUCCCCGGGCUCAACCUGGGAACUGCAUUCGAAACUGGCAGGCUAGAGUCUUGUAGAGGGGGGUAGAAUUCCAGGUGUAGCGGUGAAAUGCGUAGAGAUCUGGAGGAAUACCGGUGGCGAAGGCGGCCCCCUGGACAAAGACUGACGCUCAGGUGCGAAAGCGUGGGGAGCAAACAGG